rnacentral:rRNA from 1 species
CACGUAGGGGGCAAGCGUUGUCCGGAUUUAUUGGGCGUAAAGAGCUCGUAGGCGGCUCAGUAAGUCAGGUGUGAAACCUCCAGGCUCAACCUGGAGACGCCACCUGAUACUGCUGUGGCUAGAGUCCGGUAGGGGAGAGUGGAAUUCCUGGUGUAGCGGUGAAAUGCGCAGAUAUCAGGAAGAACACCCGUGGCGAAAGCGGCUCUCUGGAACGGUACUGACGCUGAGACGCGAAAGCGUGGGGAGCGAACAGG